GAGAGAGACAUAAUGGUUAUGAUAUUGGCUUGAAACCGAUCUUAGGAGGUUCGAUUCCUUCCUUUCUUA
rnacentral:tRNA from 1 species